rnacentral:sRNA from 1 species
AAGCACCACGAAACAAAAUAUUUUCUCAAAAACUCCCAAGACAUGAAUCGAUAUCGUCCAAACUACACGUGCGCCCGUACAGAAAGUACACUUCAUCCUCAGCAAUCUAUCAUACAACUGACAUAUUUAAGCACAUCCAAAAAUACGCCGAUAUAUUCGCCUUACAGCGUAGUUAUCCGAUAGGUGAGCAUCCCAUCCGCUGCCAGAAAUUCUUUGCUUACCUUCCAAAAUUAAAAAUACCUGUAGUUUGUCAGAUGCACACACGCCGCCUUUGACGUUUUCGCGGGCGUGCCUGGUUCCUUGAUUAAGUCUGAACAUAGUAACGGAACAGAAUAAGAAACAGGAAUAUAUCGUGGAUCCGACAGCGGAAUCAGCAGAAAUUUCGUCCCCACGUCUACCCAUCACUCUCCACAGCCGGAUCCCCAUAGAAACUUCCAUAUGAACGCUCCGGAUCUCCAUUGUAAACAACAAACCAGCCAAUCUCCGAAUCAGGCGCAAGUUCGUCCCUAAGCUUUUUAAAUACAUCUGUCCCGGCAGUUGACAAGCCCGGGUCCUGCUGUAGGAUGUCUUGCAGGCUCAAUCCUAGGCCCGCACCAGAUAGGGCCUUUGCGCCCAUGGUCAUUGUCUUUGCCGCGACAUAUGCAUAUGGCUGGCUCACGGCAUCAGCGCUAAGAUCCUCGGGAUCGUACUGUUCAAUAAGUUCGAGAUCAGGGAGGUGAGUGAGGAUAUUAGAGUCAAUGAGUUUGAAUGAAUUGAGUACUGCUGUCGUUGUGCUCGGAUGCUGGAGAUAUUCGGCAGCGGCGUCGAGGAUGUUGCAGAGGGUGAUGUAUGCACGAAUGCCUGGAGCUAAGGGGUUGGCCGCUCUAUUCCAACGGAAGCCAUAGAGGAUGUAUGUGACCAUCCUUAUAUGGAGUUGGUUAAGGGAAAUAGAACUCGAAGCAAGGAGUUUUGGAGAGGUUAAGAUGUCUUUGACAGGAGGUUCAUCGAAUUUUCGUUGAGGAAAUUGUCUGCGAGGCUUGUUUCUACAUGUCGGCAGAGGGAGAGCAAGUAAUGGUCAUGUCAGGGAUGGCAGUCCUGUCUCUUGGUGCGGAAGACUGUCCUCAAACUUGCAUGAUGUCUGAAAUACAAGCGCGCCUCAAUGGUGUGACAUUUCUGUGCAAGUGAGCUGGAGAUGAUGGCGUAGAGGUGAGGUCACAUGACUCCCUUGAUACCCUUAAAAUUGCGGGGUUCAUGAUCUGGGAAGAUAAUAUCUAUGCUGAGUCCCCAGUUUUUAAUAAUAUACCCCUGCUAAAACGGGUUGGGUUUAGGUCAAUAGCCAAUUUUUCAUACAUUAAAAAGUUAGGCAUAUUAUGGCCACGAAAUUGAACUUUUGGGAAUUAGUGAGAGUGUAGCAUAUGACUGUCCAUGUGUUCUGUAAGAGAGCCACUCAAAAGCCUGCCUUUAUAUGUAGUAGCUAGAUUCAGUGUUCUUCAUACAUUCAUAGAGCAGUAGAGUCUAUGUUUGUUGGAGAAUGAGCUUAGGAAUCUCAGUGGAGAGGGUCUCAGGACAGCUCUGGUUUCUAUAUUCAAAUUGAAGAUUAAAGUAGUUGGUUGAUUUCACUCAGAUAAUUGUUCUAUGAAGAGCUUUACGGAGAGCUCUAACAAGGAUGAAGAAUGAAGAAUCCGUGAAGAUAGUCUUAAUUGAUGGA